UUUCUCCUUACACAUGAUCUUAUCUCCUACAUUAUGGCUAUAGCCAAGCUAGAACUUGUAGGAUAAUUUGGAGUUUUGGAAGAGAGGAGAAAUUAUAGAGAAAUGAGGUGAAGGAAGCUGUGAGAAGAACAGACAACAAAGGAAAGAAGUAUCUGUGAAAGAUUCAAAUGAAAAUCUCUAUUGCACAAUUGGAAAAUACUUAUCUGGAGCUCAAGAGAGUGAUCCAGAUUAGGGCUAAUAAAUAUGGAUAAAAUCAGUUAAUACUGUAACACCAUAUGGCAUAGAUACUAUUAUAAUCCUCAUUUUACAGAUGAGGAAAGUGGUAUGCAGAGAGGUGAUGUAAUUUGUCUGCAAUUACACACCAUCUGCAGUGUGAUUUGAAGCUCUUAACAAGCUCCCAAGAAACACCAAUGUUUAAGACUGCAAAGGAACUGUCAAAAUGCAAUGGAAACUAGAAGAGUUUUGAGAUGGCAAGAGUGGUCAAGAGAGCCAAAUGUUGCUGAGAGUUCAAGAGAAAGAGGUGAUUUUGUGCAGAAAUAGAUGAUACAGAAGAAAAGCAUUAGAAAGAUUCUAAAAAUAUCUCUUUGGUGAGAACUUUGCAAUCAGAACACCCCACAUCGCAUAGAAGGUUGUUACUGCUAUCCGUCCUUAAGGGAAAAACAUCACCGGUGUUAUGGCAAUGUCACUAGAGAGGUGUAAAGGUGAGAACUGAAAUGACUUUGGGAAAAGGUUUUGGAAGAUUGAGAAGAAAAAAGAGAAGAUUCCAUAAAUCUCUUCAAACUGCCAGAGAAUGAAAAGCCAGGUAGUAUUAUCAUGGAAAAGAAAUGAAA
rnacentral:lncRNA from 10 species